CCUUGUGGUUGGGGCAUUGCAAAAUCUUUCCAUUAAAUUUCUCUCACACCUCAUAUAAAGGUUUUCCAUUUAAUUGAUGAAAAUUUGUAAUUUUAUCUCUCAAUUG
rfam:Capsicum annuum cultivar Zunla-1 chromosome 10, whole genome shotgun sequence